rnacentral:lncRNA from 1 species
AUUUGCCUGAAAGUAAAAUUUCUUAGAACCAGUGUUUAUACAGCUCUUUUGAAUUGCAUCUCUUUCGCUUUUUUACAUGAGCACGUUUGGCUGAAAAUGGUUGAAAAAUUCAAACAGUAUUCAAACAUCAAGACAUUAUUUUUAAAAAUAUGAUUCUUUUUACUAUAAGACCUUUAGAUUUCUACAUGAACAGAAUAUUUUUUUGUUGUUGUUCCUAGUGCAGAAACACUGGCAUGCUUGUGCUUAGUAAAUACUCAUGUGGGCUGUCUAGUUUCUUGAGCAUCUGUCACUUGUGAAUGAAUGCUUGUGGCAUUUCCUUUGAUGAUAGAGGAGCCUUGCCAGAGUGGUGGUGGUGGUACCUGUUGAAUGCCAUCCUUGCUUCCAGUUACAAAUAUAUCAUUCUCUUUUAUAUAUAUAUAUAUAUAUAUUUUUACCACCCAGGGGUUUACCAGGAAAGGAGCAUGUUGGAGGGAAGGAAACAUGCAUACUAUGUCACUGUGUCAUGUAUCUUUUGGAUCAUAGCUUCCAUAGUUGAGUCAGUCCUACUCUCCUAAACUGAAGAGAAAACGGGCCUCUCUGAAGAGCAGCUUAAGACCCUUCUGGAAGAAUGUAUGCAGCCUCAGAGAACAAUAAGCAACGUUACCAUGCCAAAGUCUCAGGAAUCUCUUUCUUGUGGAUUAAGUCCCCCUUGUUACACAAGUCAAGACUCCACUCUUCACUCCACAUCUACUCUUUCCAAAAUGUUAGUUGAAGACCAUAUUGUAGGGACAUUAACAGCUCAGGAAAAGGCUGGACUUGAAGACAAAAGCUUGUAUGUUAGUGCAGAGAGUGAAAUCCCUGGCUACUAUAUCAGCAAAGCAUUGGCUGAUAGUCACUUAUCAAAGGAUUCACUGGCCCAAACAGAGGAACCUGAUGACCUAGAAGGUUUACAGAAGAUGAGAGAUAAGAGUAUUAAAGAAGGUUACUUUAUGUCAAGAGCACUCAACACAAAAAGGUUGAAGAAACCUUCUUUCUUGGGUGAACCAUUAUACUGCAUCAGCAUGAACAAUGAGCCAUCCACAGAGGCUGACAUUCUCAGCAUACCAGUGCAAACCAAAGGAGAUUAUACGAAGAUUGGAAGUUGA